rnacentral:lncRNA from 1 species
AUUUGAGGAAAUGAUUAUUUGAUUGAAGAUAUUUUAUGUAAUAUUGAAUCGUGCAUCCUGUGUAAUCGAUCAUAUUUUGUAAAAUGAGUUGACGUAGAUUUGAUUUUUAUGACGCUUAUCAUGUUCUAAAAAGUAAAAUAGUUGGUUAUGCUAGUGAUGGUGUAAUCAUUUUUCACUAGAUAUUGUUAGUCAUAACUACAAUCUUCUACCGGAGAAUUCUCGAGUUAUAAAGUAGAAAUUUUCGAUUAAUCAAUCUGUUGAAUUGGAUUCCCCAUUUGAAUUGUAGAAUAAUGAUUAAAGGGAGACAUUUAAUGUUGUGGACAUUUUUUAUUACACGUUCAUCUUGACAACGUGCGAAAUUCAUAAGAAAAUAAUUAUCUGGUCGCGCUUCUAUGUUUCAACAGAUAUGUUAUAUUUAAAUUUUGAAUUUUUUGAAUGAUAAUUUCCGAUCCAUAGCAUGUUCUUGUUUUUACGUCAAAUUCCAAAUCUCUAUUGUAAGGUCAUGUUUUUUGAAGCAUGAAAAAAUCGAGCUUCAAGAUUAAAAAGAAAGAAGAAAAUUCGGAAAAUGACUACGUAUUACUCAGCAACACAUAAUUCGCUAAAGAUGUCAUUAGAUUUUUCAAUAGAAUCUCAUACCAUCAAAAAUUUAGAAAAGGAGAAAAAUGAACCAUUGAAAAACUCCCCAGCAUUGUUUGUGUUUGUUCCAAUUGUAGUGAGCACAAAUGAAUAUGAAUAAAUUCGAAGAACACAAGUUAAAAUAUAAAAAAUUUUAGACCAGUUUUUAUAAUAGGAAUGUUCAGAGUAACUAUACUCUGGUGUUUUGCUUCAGAUUCUAUUCGUUUUUGGACUCGUUUUACUCACUGACUACAUCGUUACAAAUUGUCUGAAACCAUUUAAGAAAUCUUUACAAAGUAGUAUAAUUAUAACGCACUAAAGUUAGUUCUGACAAACAUUUGUUCUAUUGUACUUACAUAAAUCUAUUUUUAUUCACUCUAGAGAUAACCAGUUUUAAAAGUUUCAGGCGGUUGUUGCAGAGUUUCGUGUUAAACAAAAUAAGUCCAAGAACAUUGGAGUUUGAUCAAAAACGCUAGAUUCCAAUAAUUUUAAGUGCUUUAAUUAUAAAACCUUGAAUCAAAUUGUAGAUAUUUUAGCUUGUAUUGUUCAAAUUAGUUUAGAUUUAUUUCUUUUACAUGGUAGCGAUGUUUAAUUCGUAUUCACCAUCAUUGUUCCAAAUAAGCUGCGCAAGAUUCUUUUUUCCAGAUUCUGAUCAAUACAUUUUCUUUAUGAAGCUGAUACUACUAGCCAGAGUUAACAGCCAAACUCGUUGAACUUUGUGGAAUUAGAAAAUUGCAGUUCAGUUUUAUCCUCAUAAUUCUAUAAAAGUAUAAGGAUUUGAGGUACUUCACAAAAUUUUGGUUUUUGUAUUUUACUAUCUUAUUCGAGUGAACGUUAGAACAUUUGGCUCGUAAUUCUGGCCUAGCUUCAGCCUUGUAUUUUCUUUUCUGUAAAUUACUGUAUUGCUCUGUAUAUGUGGAGAUUGCUGGUGCUUAUGCACAACUUAUGCAACAGGUGUCUCUCACCUGUAUAUUUGCGAAAUAAUUCCUGACAUGAAAUCUUGGAAGCAGAGAGUAGAACUUGAUUAAGCAAAUCUUCAUGCUUAUGUCUUAUGUCCAUCAGGUUGAAGAACAUUAAAAUCAGUUUUCUGUAACGCAAUUAUGGUUUUUCCAAAACUUUAUUGCUGGCACAUGAAAGAAUAAAGUUUGAGAACAAAAAUAUUUCAGGCUCAUAUUAAAUAUAAAUCAGGUGAAAUGGAAAGCCUGUAAUGUUUGUUGCUGCAAAUUAAUGAUAGCUAGUUUUCAUUUAAUAAUAAACUGAAGAAUCAAAGAAAAAAAAAAAAA